ACAACAAAAAAAUAAAACCGCUGUGCUAAUAAGCACUAGAUCAAAGUAAAAAAAAAAAAAAAAAAAAAAAAAAAAAAAAAUAAAAUAUAAGGCAUCAAACAUAGUACAUGGCAGCUGGUAAUCACUCAGUUAAUGUUCAUGUUCUACUUACUAUGGAUAAGUAGCAUAAAGUACCCCAGAACUUACUGGUUCGAAGUAGUCAUUUAUUAUGCUUAUUGAUUAUGAGGAUCAGGAAUUUGGACACAGUACAGUGGAGAUGGUUUGUCUCUUGUCUGUGACAGAUGGUGCCUCAACUGGAAGACUCAAAGUCUGAUGGCUGGAAUUAUCUGAAGCUUCAUGCACUUAUAUGUCUUGGUUGAUUCCAGCUGUCAACUGAGAUCUUAGCUGGGACUGUGAACUGGAAAACCUACAUGUGGUGUCUCCAUAUGUCCUGGGCACCCUCAUAACAUGGUCACUAGGGUCUGAAGGGCUUUGUCAGCCCAGAAGGCAUGAUGCCCUUUCAUAAUUCACAUGAAGGUGCCAGGUGUGCUGCUUUUGGUCCCGAAGGCCAUCAAAACCAUCUUCUGAAAUAAGUUUUUUUGAGGAGCUGGACCAUGUCUUAUUUACAUCUAUAUCCUUUGACUCUAAUAGAACACGGAGUGGGUGCUUCAGAACAUCUCUGGAAUGACAGCUGUACUGAUGAGCAGUUAUUCCCAAAGAAGACAGAGUACUUUGAAGAUGAGUUAGUCAUUGCUGUCCUCUGGAACUGAGUUGACCCACUCGCAACCUUCCUGUAGGUGGCAGAGUGACACAGUUAAGAGCUCAGACAUGUUCCACAACUUAGCAGCUUAAUGAAUCUUGGACAAGAUAAGUGACCUCAUUGCGCCUCCAUUUUCUUACCUGUAAAAUGAGGACAGAAACAAGUACUUGAAAAUAUUACUGCUAAGAUCUAGAGGAUUUUGAAUACAUCAGUUACUACUACAUCUAGUUCUCUCUUCUCUGAGGUGGGAUUCCAGAGACGGCCCAGAGUUGGGAGAGCAAAUAAGCUUUUCCAUCAUUGACAUACCAAAUGGUUUAUAAAGAGAAAGUCUCCACGCACAAGAACUUGGUUCUGGGUUUUAGAGAUGAGGAGCACUUAGGCUUCAAAGUUCCAGCCCCCACUUGAUCAUGCUGCUUUGCCACCGAAAGCAGCUCCCCAAGAGAAGCAGGAUUUACGUGUAAGAAUCCCAUCACUGAAAUUGUCAUGAAAAGGAGUUAUAGACCUCAAGUAGAAACCAGGUCUUACUCAUUUAGAUGUGAGUGUUCACCUUUGCGCAGUGUCAUGGUGUUUGGCUCUUAUAUUUUCUAUAAUUACGCAGUUUUAAUUUCUUUCAUAUGUUUUUCUUGACAAAUCACAUAGACUUUCUUGUUAACUUUUCCCAAACUGAGCCUUAACGUGAUGUCUUGGGUACUCUUUAAGUUCAUUAUUUUAAAAUCUUAGGGGAGAAUAUAUUGGUAUACAACCUGUUUUGUGGUAUUUUGGUAGUAAAAUAAAUGGCAAGUGUUUUUAUUAUUAUGAUUAUUUGCUUGUUUGUUUUUAAAGCGUUGAUUUUCUGAUAGGCUGCUUGUCGGCCUUCAGGAUAAACAUAACCAAGUGGAGUGGUUCUGAACUGUUGAUUCUUUCUCCUUUACACUGAGCCUUUCCCUUGUUAAAAGUGUAUUAAGAGUGUAAAAGGGAUAAAUCCUCUACUGCCCAACACAUCGUGAGAAGCAUUUCUGCAGCAUUUCUAGCAGCAGUAACCUCUGAGAGUAACCCCCGCAUGGAGAAAGAAAAGUAAUAGUAGAGAGAGAUGACUUCCCAGGCCGAAGAGGGUCAGAGGUGGAAAUAGGAGUUCACUUCAAGGGAUUACAUGAAAGUCUCACUAAAAUACAGAGUGAAUUUUAGUCAUAUUCAAUUGCGUAUUGAUUUAUGCUUGCUGACUCAUAUUGCUUUUGGUGCAUGUUGGCCACAUUCUGAGAAAGCCAAUUCUCUAACUAUUGCUUUUUAAUGAGGAUAAUAUUAAACAUUUUAAAGGCAGCACAAGAGAUGUGCACUCGGGGGUUGUUCACACAGUUCAGUAUGGGAAGAAGUAACUGGAGACUGUCUCAGGCUCUGAGCUAUGUUUCUUUCUCUGCCACCACCACCAAACUAGUCUAGGCUCUCAGGACCUUAUGCCUGUUAGUGAAGAGAAGAGAGGGGAGAAGAACUAGAGGGAGAUGAGAGAAAAGUCUUCACUCUGGGGGCCUGUUCUUGACAGGUGGAGAAUAGAUUUUAUCCUAUUCUUUUCUGUUUGAUCUAUACCAUAUUUAGGAGAAAAGUGCAGGGGGUUUUUUUGUUUGUUUUUUGUUUUUUCUUUUUUACGGCUGUACUCACAGCAUAUGGAAGUUCCCAGGCUAGGGGUCAGAUUGGAGCUGUAGCUUCCAGCCUACGCCACAACCACGGCAACGCCAUAUCCGAGCCACAUCUGUGACCUAAAUCACAGUUCACAGCAGUGCAAGAUCUUUAACCCACUGAGUGGGGCCAAGGAUCAAACCCACGUCCUCAUAGAUACUAAUCAGGUUUGUUACCACUGAGCCACAAUGGGAACUCCCAAGUACAGGUAUCAUGAUUUUAACUCCUUCUGAAAAAUUGAGACUUCUAAAGAAAAAUUGUGAGUUUAUGUAAAUUCUUUUUUGGAGAUAUGAUAUACUUCUCUUCACUUUGGAAAGAUACUUCAGUGGGUCCAUAACAGGAUGUGAUGGAGUGGAACUAAAAACUGCUUUUCAUAAUAAAGUGAAGUAUAGUGGAGACUCAUUACUUCUAUUCAACUUAUUUGGUCUGCCCGUCUACUCGGGUCUUUGAGGCAGAUAAGAGAUGCUGUUGAGCCUCAAACAGUCAGUUCAGGUUGGUAAAACUCAGGGAAUAAAUGUGUGACUCAUUUUAAUGACUUGCCCACGUUGCCUAUGAACUGGACGGCAUUGUUCAGGUGGCUGGGAUUUGGGAUGGUGAUGGCUCUGUCAGUAAUCUUAAUGAGAAAUAAAAAAAGUUAAUUGAGGGUCAUACAGUGACUUCAUUAAAGAUUUAUGCUUUAGUCUGCUUUAUUUUAUAGACAAUUUAAAUGAUUUUCAAGAGUGUUGAACUUUAGAACUUAAUUCUCACUUAUGAUGGGAUUUUUAAGAAGAGUUUUCAGUUUUCCCUUGGCAGGCAGAGACAGAGUCCUUUGGGACUUGGAGGAUUGGCUCCAUUUACUCAGGAUAGAGCUGAAGGAGAAAGAUGUUUUAAUAAGGCUUCCCUCUGUGGGGUGUGGGUAAUGAACUUUAGAGAUAGGGAUAUCUGAAAGUAAAGUUCUUUUCCUGUUUUGUGCUGUGAAUACCCACCAUGGAUUGUUAACUUUCAGUAAACAUCAGUUGUACCAUUAACCGUGAAUUAUUAGUGCUUUGCAGAGUAGAGUAAGGGGGCUGCCUUUGUUAGAUAAGACAAUGCAUCUAAAAUACUUAGUAUUAGUGGUUGCAGGGGAGUAACCUGCACAGUAGGAGUGUUAGCUCCCAUUACUAUGUUUUGGGGAUACGGAAAGCUGCCCAGCAUGGAGGCAUGCAGAGGAGACAGUUGGAGGUGAUCACAGAGGAGCUGGGGGGAGUUUAGAAUAAGAGCUAAUAAAUGACACCAAGGAAAUUUAAAUCCCCAUCUUUGCUUCCUCAUUCUCAAUUCCCCCUGCCCCAAAUCCAGAGGAACAUUAGGGAGCAUACUUGGCUUCAUACAGUUACUUGAGUAGUUAUUCCAAUUAGAUAUUAAAGGAAAGGGGGAACUUAAAGGGCUAAAACCUUGCAACAAUGUGAGACCUAGACAGUUAAGUCUCAGAACUUGUUUAAGUGGACCCUGAGCAGAUAGUGGUGAAAGAACAGGCUUAAGAAAUAGAAUAGUCUUCAGAGGCCACAGCUUAAGAAAAUAUUAUUCUCUUAUUUGGCUCUGUAGUGCAUGAUAACAGUUACUAAUAUCAAUUUCAUACCAACUAGGCUAUAAAAUUCUGUGUGUUCUGUUCAGGAUAGAGUUCUCUCAGUAGUCAGGGACUUCUAAACUGGCUUGAGUUCUCCCCUUGUAGAUAAAUGUAUUUUGCAGUAAGAUGCCUGUGGUCUAUUGAACUAAACAAAACCACAGAGCUGUUUCUUUCUCGUUUACUCCAAGAAACCAUUAUCUUCCUUGCUUUUAAUCUUUCCCAUAGACCAAAAUACCUUGCACAUCCUGGACAGAUUAGUCUUUCUGGAAUAAUGCUUUAGUGGCAAGAUUCUAAAAUGGCUUCUUAGCAUUUACUAGAUAGAGUCCAACCUCAAGCCAGAGGCCAGCUCUCCUACAGCUUGGCCUCACUGUCACUCUUCUCUCUUGAUGUGCAUGAACCCUUCACCCAGGUCAGGCUCAUCUGCUAAUCCAUCAUACCACUUUUACACCUGCCUCUUCCCAACUCUUAACUCCCUUCUUUCCACUGAGCUAAAUUUUACCCAUACCUCUAGAUCUCUCUGAAAAGUUAUCUUUCUUGUGAAAACCUCCCAAGUAUUCUAGUCCAUAUUGAUUUUCCCCCUGAGUUUAUGUUCACUUUAGUCACUUAGUUGCAUCAAUUUAACAGUUAUUUGGGGGUUUUUUGUUUGUUGUAUUUUUUUUUUUUUUAUGGCCAUACGCAUAGCAUAUGAAAGUUCCCAGGCCAGGAACUGCAGCUGCAGCAACACCAGAUCCUUUAACCCAUUGCGCCAGGCUAGGGAUGGAAUCUGAGCCUUCCCAGCAUCCCGAGCCACUGCAGUUGAAUUCUUAACCCACUGUGCCACAGAGGGAAUUCCUGGAUGGUUAUUUGUUGAGUGCUGACAAUAUGCCAGGUACGUAAUGCAAAUACUGUGGUUUUUUAAAUAUAUCCUCUUUUAUAUUUUCACUUAUUUAUAUGUAUACAUACCUAUUGCCAAAAAAAAAAAGAAAAAAAGAAAAACUCAAGGACUGCAUUAUUUUGUUUUCUCACUGAAUUUGGCACAAAAUAAGAAUACAUUAUAUCUAUCUUGAAUUGAUUAAAGUAUAUACAUGAUAAACUUAACUAGGAUACAGGUCACUUGUUAACUUGUCAGCUUAUGAUCAUUAACCAUAUUAACUGGAUGAUGAAUCUUUUUAAUAAUAGACAUUUUUCAUUAUGCCUGACCUCAUUAAAUCUUGCAGAGUGACAGAUUUUGUUUAAAAUUUUUAAUAGCACUUUUUCAUAGUUCAAAAAAGGGUAUUACAGAUGUUGAGCAGAACAAUUAAAAACAAAACCUUAUUCUAUACAGUUAACCAGUGUGUAGACUUUAUUACAUAGGCACAUAUUUUUUAAGUAAACUUUUUACAUAGAAUUAAUCACAAUUAUACAAGACGUUACACUGAAUGAGGAUGGAUGAUGAAGGAAAGAAAAUUCAGGUCUUGGAUUGGCUGAAUCAUUCAUUGGAUCUUGGGUCCGUCCAUCCUGACACAUUGAAACUCACUCGGAGCAUUGCAAAAAUGGGGAGUGAGGAGGAGGUGUUCUUUAAACACCUGGCUUAAAACACUAAUUCUGUUUAAUUUCUUGAAUAUGGUAAAGUUUCUCCAGGUUCUUUUGGCAGGUGGCACAAAGGUUAAAUUAAUGCUGACUUAGGGGAGUUCAUAUUCUUCCCUCUGUCACCCCCUUACUUCAAACCCCUUAAGAUGCUUUGGUCUAGCAGGUUGCUGGUCAGGAUGCCUGUCUUCCCAGAAUUUCUCCCAUUGGCAACCACAGGGGGUUGGGGGCGGGGGCUGAUCCCGAAGCACAGGGAGGCAAGAGGGGUACUUAGGGCUUUGGUCACAGUGUGGCCAGGUGCUGUCCACAGCUAGCACUGAGGGUUUGAUCUGAGGCAGAAGAUGGGACUGAACAGAGAGGAUGCUGGAGUUCCUUACUCUGUCCAGCUACAAUUGAGUCGUUACAUUUGACCAACUCUUUAAGUAGAGGGAACUAAAAUCAUACUAACAAGUAUCAUACAAGAAAUGCUAUUUUGUAGCUUGUCUAUGUUUUUAAAAAUUUUUUAACCACAUUUACCAAGAAACUGUGAGGAUAGGGAGGACUGACCCUUUCACUCAUCUUGUUUUGCUGUAACUGUGUUACAAAUAGCCCCCAAAUGGUUACUGCGUCGAUUUCUGUAGUCUUCUGUAUAAAGGGCUGUGAUCAUUCCUGACAUCACUAUCUUGGAGGGUUAGACCUGCUUCUGCUUCAAAUAGAACCCAAAUCCUAUCUGUUUCUUUUCACACUCAUACCAUAGCUAUGCUGGGUGAUGCCAGGGAACCUCCAGAGCAGUGUUCCAACUGAUCUUCACCAUCCUUUUGAUCUUCCUUGUUUAUGUUUUGAAGGCAACUACAGAAUAGAGGACUGCAGGGUUUUCUGUGUUUCUGUUGUCUGGGCAGAUGGAAGAGGAUGGCGACAUAAAAAGGGAAAUGAUAGGCCAGCUGACUUUUCCUGUAUUCAGAUUGUAAACUUUUUGGUCCUUAUAGCUACUAUAUGAAGCGUCCUGUUGACAUGAAGUAUCACCGACAGUGGCACCAAAGGGUAUUUUGUGAAAGAAUCCAUAAAACUGGAACUGGAAAGGAGCUUCCUCACUUUUUUCACUGAGGUCACUGAAGUCCAGCUGGGAAAAUAGCAAGUAACUUAAUAUGGUGAUUGUCUCCAUGACUGUGUCCUUUAGAGAUUCACAGGCACCCCAGUUCUCCCUUGAUAAAGGAUACCCCCCAGUGUCUUUACAUCAGCAGUCCACAGUGUCCUUGGGUUUGGCCUUAGCUCACUUUAGGAAAGCUGGCUGCCAGGACAGCACCUUGACCAAAUAUUUGUUGGACUGAAUUAAUUCUGUUAUUUAUCCCUGCUAGGCACUCUUAUUAUUCUUGGAGGUCCUUAGCAUUUAAGGGAUGAUCUCUAGUUCAAGUAUUCUGAGGUUUGGUGGCCAGUGCUGUAUGUCAUUUCUCUACAGGUGUUUUGUUUUGGUUUUUGUUUUUUGUGGGCAAGACAAAGCUGAGUUUAUGUAUUCUUUACUGUGGAAAGGAAUACACCCCUCAUCUGGGUCCUGAGAGCAUCUCGAAGGUGGGUGACAGGAUAUUUAUUUAUGUAAUUGUUUGGCCCCACCCAUGGCAUGUGGAAGUUCCCAAGCCAGGGAUUGUGUCCAAGCCACAGAUGCAACCUACACUGUACUGCUGGAUCCUUUAACUGCCACAUCUGGCUGGGGAUCAAACCAGCAUGUCGAGGAGAGCAACCCCAGCCACUGUAGUCGGAUUCUUAACCCACUUCACCACAGUGGGAGCUCCAAGUUUAAGAUAUUUAUUGAGACUUUAUGUCUAGGGCAAGACAGUUCUUUUCAUGUAGGAGUUUGGUCGAGAUUUGUUAAGUAAGGAUCAGGACAAGCUAGUUUGGGGUGGGUGGGCACAGCAGGAGGUGGAGUUCCCUACACUUUAUUUUUUCAUAUUGCCGUUCUUUUUUUUUUUUUUAUUCUGUUGCUUUAUAGCUUUUCAUUACAUGCAGUUAUUAUUUGCUCCUUCCAGGCAUUACCAGAUGGAUAGUGUCUGCCUUUACAGGCCUGGAACUGUAAAUUCAGAGAUACUUUUCUUUUUUUCAAUGGUUCAAUGGUUAAAACAAAAGGACUAGACUCAGUCAGAUUUGCUAAGGCACAGAGUAGAAGAAAUGUAAAAGUUCCAUAUUCCUGCUUUAGCGAAUACAUGGGAAAAUAGUACCGAUACACGUCUGUCUCCUACAUUUAUAACUGCCUUGUACAUUUCUUUUAAGUCCUUAAAUACGAGUCAUAAUAUCCAAAACAAGUUUCAUUUACAAAGAACGUAGUUAAGAAAUGGUGAAGAAAUAGUGACUUUUAAGGAAUUGGCACUUAGACAUUGGUAAUGUUUAGAAAAUGUGUUGGUUUAGAACGUGGUGAGAAUGCUAUGACUAAUUUUAUAUAAGAGUUGUCAUGGUUUGGAUGACACGUGGUAGUGAAAUUUUGGAGAUAAUUCCUUUCCUUGGUGAUAUUUCUUAUAGGUUUUGUCUUUUGGUCAGUUUUGUUUGAAUUUUCUGUCACGUUGCCUUUUUUUUUUUGGCUUUUAAGGGCCACACCUGCAGCAUGUGAAGUUCCCAGGCAGCUGCAGGCCUGCACCACAGCUCACGGCAGCACCGAAUCUUUAAGCCACUGAGCAAGGCCAGGGAUCAAACCCACAUCCUCACGGAUACUGGCUGGAUUCGUUAACCACUAAGCCACAAUGGAAACUCCUUUAAGUUGCAUUCUUAUCAUGACCUAAACUCUAGAUAUGCUAGAAUUAACUUAUCAUCAUCUUCCAUUCGUAGAAGAGUUAAAGUUACCAUUCCCAAGUGGGAAAACUUCUAAAAAGUAGACUAGAUGGCAGUGCUUCCUACUCAAUUAGCUUAAUAUUUUCAGGGCUUUUAAAAAAAAAUGUCAAAUCAUUGUUUUCUCACUACUAAACUUAUUAUGAGAUUUAAAGCAGCUUCUGAAAUCAGAAUGCCAUUUCACAAGUUUCAGCCUUACUACCUCAGACUUCCAUCUUCCUGUGGUGACAAAACAAAUAUGUAGUAAUAGUGGUCAGUGGCUAGUGUUGGGGAAAACAAAGACCUAGCACACCAAGACUGACCAUGCACUCUGUUAAAUGCUUUCUUCUCCUGCUGACCAUUCGAAUGGGCUCACAGAUCUGACUUGCAUAUCUGUGCUGUUAUGUGGGGGCACAAAAAUGUGUUUCAUUAUGAGGUACACUGCAGUUUAAAUUCAGCUGUGCAUUAAGUACUGACAGUUAUCAUUAGUUGACCGCGGAGGCAAGGCAAGAAAAAUUUAAGUGCUCCAGGAAAUAAAAGCAUGCUUGCAUGCUUUAAUAUAAGUAUUUAAUGAUAAGGGUUAGGUAGGCUUAAAAUCUCAAGGUCAGUAUUCCUUCAGCAAACAUUUAUUGAAUACUUAAUAUUUUUCCUUUAUUUCACCAAUAUAUAUUUGUCCUAUUAGCAAGGCUGUAAAGUGGCUGAAAGUUGUUAUAUUCCAAGCUUGAUGCUAGGUGCUGGAAGCAAGGAAUAAAUUACAUUUCUUGCCUCCAUGGAUCACAUUUCUUGAGAAUGUGAAUUUCCAGGGAAAUAAGCCCCUACCCUCAUCAACUGAAUUUGAAUAAAAAUUACUCUCGUUUGGGAGUUCCCAUCAUGGCAAAGUGGAAAUGGGUCCGACUAGGAACUAUGGGGUUUCAGGUUCGAUCCCUGGCCUCUCUCAGUGGGUUAAGGAUCUGACGAUGCCAUGAGCUGUGGUGUAGGUCGAAGACACAGCUUGGAUCUGAUGUGGCUGUGGCUGUGGCCAGCAGCUGUAGCUCUGAUUGGACCCCUAGCCUGGGAACCUCCAUAUGCUAUGAGUGUGGCCCUAAAAAAGAAAAAAAAAAGAAAAAAAAUUACUCUUAUUUCAAAUGUUUUACAUUAAAAAAAUGUUCUCAAGGGUUAUGAGAGUGCCAAUAAUGCAGAAAGGUGGAGGGAGGGGGAUAGGGAAAAAAACUGUCCAGCUUAUAUUUAAUGUGAGUGAAAUACAAAAUUUUGCUAAGACAUGACUAGUACUAUGUUUAUUAGAGUGACAAGGGGGGUUAAUGGUUUCCCCACAAAGUACCUCAUAAAAGUCACGAAGCAAGUCACCAGACCAAAAAAAAAAAAAAA